rnacentral:rRNA from 1 species
GGGGGAUAUUGCGCAAUGGGGGCAACCCUGACGCAGCAACGCCGCGUGAAGGAUGAAGGUUUUCGGAUUGUAAACUUCUUUUAUUAAGGACGAAAAAUGACGGUACUUAAUGAAUAAGCUCCGGCUAACUACGUGCCAGCAGCCGUGGUAAUACGUAGGGAGCAAGCGUUGUCCGGAUUUACUGGGUGUAAAGGGUGCGUAGGCGGCUUUGCAAGUCAGAUGUGAAAUCUAUGGGCUCAACCCAUAAACUGCAUUUGAAACUGUAGAGCUUGAGUGAAGUAGAGGCAGGCGGAAUUCCCCGUGUAGCGGUGAAAUGCGUAGAGAUGGGGAGGAACACCAGUGGCGAAGGCGGCCUGCUGGGCUUUAACUGACGCUGAGGCACGAAAGCGUGGGUAGCAAACAGGAUUAGAUACCCUGGUAGUCCACGCUGUAAACGAUGAUUACUAGGUGUGGGGGGUCUGACCCCUUCCGUGCCGGAGUUAACACAAUAAGUAAUCCACCUGGGGAGUACGGCCGCAAGGUUGAAACUCAAAGGAAUUGACGGGGGCCCGCACAAGCAGUGGAGUAUGUGGUUUAAUUCGAAGCAACGCGAAGAACCUUACCAGGUCUUGACAUCCAACUAACGAAGUAGAGAUACAUUAGGUGCCCUUCGGGGAAAGUUGAGACAGGUGGUGCAUGGUUGUCGUCAGCUCGUGUCGUGAGAUGUUGGGUUAAGUCCCGCAACGAGCGCAACCCUUGCUAUUAGUUGCUACGCAAGAGCACUCUAAUAGGACUGCCGUUGACAAAACGGAGGAAGGUGGGGACGACGUCAAAUCAUCAUGCCCCUUAUGACCUGGGCUACACACGUACUACAAUGGAUGUUAACAGAGGGAAGCAAGACAGCGAUGUGGAGCAAACCCCUAAAAACAUUCUCAGUUCAGAUUGCAGGCUGCAACCCGCCUGCAUGAAGAUGGAAUUGCUAGUAAUCGCGGAUCAGCAUGCCGCGGUGAAUACGUUCCCG